AGGGUGAGUGCAUUAGUGUACACAAAGAUGAUGCAUUGCAUUUAUCCUUGUACUUGGCACUGCUCCUUGUACAUUGCUUAUGUGAGACGGCACGGACUUCGUGAGGAUUCAUUAGCCCUCAGAGGAAAGACCUGGAACAGCCCUACGGGGACCAGGCACAUAUAUAAAGACCUAGAACAGCCCUACGGGGACCAGGCACAUGGUACUUAGGUACCCCAGAUGAGAUAGAGGGAGUUUUGAUCCGUCCGGCCGAGGUGAUGUGAUUCUGUGUUGCAUUCCAUGAGAGCAUGUUUUAUC
rnacentral:lncRNA from 1 species